ensembl:lncRNA
ACUUUCAUCAAGAGGCUUUUUAGUUCCUCUUCACUUUCUGCCAUAAGGGUGGUGUCAUCUGCAUAUCUGAGGUUAUUGAUAUUUUUCCCGGCAAUCUUGAUUCCAGCUUGCGCUUCUUCCAGCCCAGCGUUUCUCAUGAUGUACUCUGCAUAUAAGUACUCUCUAAAUAAGCAGGGUGACAAUAUACAGCCUUGACGUACUCCUUUUCCUAUUUGGAAGCAGUCUGUUGUUCCAGUAUCAUUUCUUUCAUGCAUCUUCAUAUAGUUUUAAUGUCAAGUGUCUUUUGGGAAUACAACUUCCCGAACAACUUAAACUCAGUUUGAAAAAUCUUUGAAUAGUGCUGGCCUAGAGUUUGUUUGACAGAGGCUACAUAGGGGUAAAUUAUCAUAGAUAAAGAAACCACAGCCCUAGACAGGGGACAGCCAACGUGCAGCAUGCCCUGAGCAAGGGUCUCUGAAGAGGAAGGUGGCUUACAUUCCUGAAUGCAGACUAAGGAAUCUAAGUUCUGCUGUUGGCAGUAGAGAACCAAAGGGAUUUCUAGCAGGGGAGUAAUGAUCAGACCAAUUGGUAAAUGAAGGAGUCUGUUUGUCUGAAAUCGUUGUCCCUCUUUUCCCUUGGCACAAUACAUCUGGGAAUUGUUCUUGGACUAGUUUCGGCUCAAAAGCUGAACGCUUUGAUGACAAUUUAUCCCACCACUGCAUUUUGAGAGUCUCUGCUUCCACAGUACAAUAGCCAGUGGACUCUCGCUAUCCGAAACCAAAAGGGGAUGCUCCCAGGAAGCAGUGAAGAGCUGUCAUACCACCGGACCACACUCCACUAGGAAACAAAACUAUUUACGUGAUAAAGCGCAAGUGGCUUAAAAAAAUCAGUCCAUUACAAGCGAGAAAACUGAGAUCAAGAGAACAAAAAUAAUUCAUCCAAGACAGGUAAAACUUACAUAUUUUACAGGAUUUAUGCUGGGCACUGGGGAUACUUAAAAAUAAGACACAGUUCCCAUCCUCAAGGAGUAGAGAAACAUGUAAACAUAUCAUUUUAUAUCUAAUCCCAAGGGACAUUUGGAAUUGGAAUAGGUGGUUACUACAACGCUAUUCAGCUCUAAAUUUCUAUGUGUAACUGAAAGCAGAAGCAUCUAGUGGGAUUGGGAUGAGUGGAGUUUGGAAAUAAGAAAGGAAUACUUGGCAUCAAUAGAAGGCAUCUUGAAACAGUUAAUGUUAGGACCACCUGGGAUGGCCAGUCUCUAAGGUGGCCCCCAGUGAGUCUUGCCCCCGGUGUCUGUUCAUGACCCUGUGUAGUCUCUCCCAUGUUGAAUGGCAUCCAGCCUGGGUGACCAGCAGAGCCUGGUAGAUGCCGUGGUGGAGGUCUCAGAUGGCACUGUGGGUUUCACCUCAGUCUCUUGCAUUGUCUGGAGUGGGGCAGUCCUCACACGUUGAGGACACUCGGGAAGUCCAUGGAGAAGCCCGUGUGAGAAGAACUGAGGCCUCCUGCCAACAGCCAAGCCUUUGCUGUUCCCAAGCCACCUUGGGAACUGACCCUGCUGGUCAAGCCUUCAGAUGACACAGCCCUAGUGGACAUCGACUAUGGUCUCACGAGAAGAUCUGAGCCAGAACCAAAUUCCCAACUCAAGGAAAUUGUAAGAGACAAUAAAUGAUUGCUAUUUCAAGCCGCUAACUUUGGGGUAAUUUUGUUGUGCAGCAAUAAAUGAACCUAGCAUCUCUGUUAAGAACACAGGUCUUAUGUUAUCCAACCCAGUAAUCUCUGAACUAUUUUCAAUUUAGUACCCCAAUUUUUUCUGAUACCUAAAUCUGGUCAAAGAAUUUUAUUAUCCUUACAUAAAGAGAGUUGACUUUUAGUAAAUAUGAUUUAAAAACGUAGGUUGCAUUUUUUAAAAGGAAUGAUUGAAGAAAAGUUUAUAGAGUUUAGCAGGAUAUUAAUUUUCUUUCCAGUUCUGUUCAAUAUGAUAUUGGUGGCAUUUCAACAAGUGCCCUUUUCUUCAAUUGCCUUCUUUAUAAGGUGGCAUUUUGGCAAGAGAUUUUGUUUUCUGUGUGGUCGCAGUUCUGAAAUAGCUUUGUGGGGGUUUUGUUGUUUAUUUGUUUUCUAAAUAGUAGGUUUACCAAAAAAAGCUCCAUGUUUCAAUCUGUAAAAUAAUGAACUUCAAUAGAAACCUAGGAUGAUUUUGUCAGGGUAUUUAAACAGUAGAGAUUUUAGUACUGGGGAUUUUAAUUCUCAGUCUAAUUCAGUUUGGGAAGGAAUUUCUUCUACCAAAAGUAGACAACAAGGAUGGAAUCUGUGUAGUAUACAGAAAACUGCUUCUAAUAGGUGUAAAUUCCAUUUAAGCAGGCCCAGGUGCUAAAGCCAAUUAGAGAAAAUGGAACCUGGCAGAUGGAGAGAAACUUGCCAGGGUCCCCUGGGAGCAGGGGUUUUAAUCACAGCCCAUGUAACAAAGACUUAACCCAGUUUGGGAGAUUAUUAGAAACCAUUAGCACCUUGUCACCCACAGCAAUCAAGAGUGCCUUUUGCUUUAAAUCUUAAGCUACAGGCUCCCAUUUUCCCUUUAGACUGUAAAGACCCUUAGUCAUACGGAGCUUCUAAAAUUCUCCUGUGAGGAGCUCCUUGGAUUAUAGGGGGAAAGAGGAAUGGAGCAAGUGUAAUCUCUCUAAUUCUUUCUGCUCCUACAAGCUUCUGGUUGGCUGUUUUUCCAAAUAGGUGUCUUCACUCUGACAGCCUGCACCACCCACCUCCCUUUCUCCAGUGCAUUGGGUAAAUUCAAAAGGACAUCUUCAGGGUUAAAAAUGCUAUUUUGAGAUGCCAGACCCAGACAGCUCUCCGUUCCUAUCUCUGCAUUGAGGCAUCAUAGUGUGGAGGUCAGUACGUGGACUCUGAGUCCAUCACUUACCGUGUGUUAUUUGUACAAAUUAUUUAACCUCUUUGAAGCUGGUUUUUAGUCUGUCAACAUGCAUUCCUUGCAGUGUCAUUGUAAGGAUUAAAAUAAUAGUAAUAUAAUUGUAAUAGUUAACAGUUAUUGAGUUCUUCAUAAGUGCCAGGCAUUUUCCUAUUUUAUAGAUACUGAGACACAUUUAAUCCUCACAACAACCUCUUUUAGCCGAUGAGAAAAUCAAGGCACAGAGAGGUUAAGAAACUUCCCCAAGGUCACAGAGUUAACAGGUGUCAGAGUAAAGUUCAAGUCUGAGCAGUCUGACCUGAGCUGAUGAUCUUAGUACUAUACUGUGCUGUCUCCAUAGAGGUAUCAGACUUUAAUAAUAUCUAUUUGUGUAUUGAAUGGGUAAGUGUGGUUGUGCGAUUUUUCUCUGGCAGCGCUCAGCAAUCCCAGGUUGGAGCAGAGAAGGGCAGGGCGAUGGUUGAACAGAGCCAAGGCUGGGGUUCAAGAGUAGGCUUUACGAAAGCAGGAACAGACAAAGGUGCUGAUCAGGCAGUGGUUGAAACGAUGAUUUUUUUUUUUUUUAAGAUAGAGUUUGAUUUUAUUAUUUUUUAACUUUGUGUAUUUAUGGCUGUGCUGGGUGCUUGGGCUUUUUUUCUCUGGCUACAGGGAGUGAUGGUUACUCUUUGGAUGUGGUGCCUGCAUUCCCAUUGCAACGGCUUCUGUUGCGGAGCACGUGCUCUAGGCGCACAGGCCUCAGUAGCUGUGGCUCCUGGACUCUUGCACAGGCUCAGUAGUUGCAGCAAGCAGGCUAAAUUGCUCUGUAGCGUGUGGGGACCUCCUGGACCAGGGAUCAAACCCGUGUCUCCUGCACUGGCAGGCAGACUAUUCACUGAGUCCUCAGGGAAGCUCUGGUACUAUAAUCCUGAAAUUUAGUCUGGAAAGAAAAGGAAGUGUUAAAUUGCAAGAAAACAGAUGAGCCAGGAGCUUUGUGACAAAAAACCAAGAAGCCAUACAAAGGUGAUUGUAAUGGACAUGUUAAAAAUUUUUAAUUAUGAAUUAUUACAAGUCCCAGAAGCAAAAUACUUUGAAACUAGAAGUGAUGGUUGCACAAUAUUAAAUGCCACUGAAUCAUAUACUUUAACAUGAUUAACUUUAUGGUAUAUGAAUUUUACCUCAGUAAAAAGAAAAAAAAGCUAGUAACAAUCUUAGAAGACAAAGUGGGGAAAAUAUCGGCAAAAUAAAUGACAAGGGUAAUUUCUUUACUAUGUAAAGAGUUCUUGGGGUAUGAUAAGAGAAACAACAUCAACCCAAUAAAUUAGGUUCAUCCUCACUCAUAAUCAGAGAUUCAAAUUAGAACUAGGAUGCUACCAUGCUAGUCACCUGAUUGAUUGGCAGUGAUCAAAAAGACUUGUACCUUCUUUUUCUUUUCAUCUUUCCCUGUGCCAUUAUACAGUAGAUCCUUGUUAGCCAUCUAUUUUGUGUAUAGUAGUGACGCUCACCCCCUUUGACCCACCAAUUCUACUUUUUUUGGGGGGGGCACAUCAUGUGGCAUGUGGGGUCUUAGUUCCCCAACCAGGGAUCAAACCCAUGCUCCCUGUAUUGGAAGUGCAGAGUCUUAACCACUGGACUGCCAGGGAAGUCCUUAGGCAAUUCUGUAAAUGUGGUAGAUCUAUACGGAUUGUUAAAGGAAUGUUCUCCUAGCUGCAUUAUUAAGGGAAAAAAAUCAAGGUGUAGAGAGUGUUCAUAGUAUGCUACUCUCUCUAUUUAAAGUAAAAGGGCAAUAUAUCCACUUGUGUAUGACUGUGUCUGAAGAAUGUCUUUGGAAAAAUAAUCAAGAAACUGGUGUUACUGGUCGCCUCUGGGAAUGAGAAAUGGGAGGCUGGGGAUCAGAAGGGAGUCUUCUGUUCACUCUUUACUGUUUCUUAAAAACAUGAAAAACUGAAAGAAAAAAAUAAUGUCUUUGAUUACUUGGCACGUUCCUCUCUGUUGCAAGCUACUGUCUUAAUCUGGGCCUUGCUGCAUUGCUGUUAUUGGAAUGUUGGGGGUACAGCAACCCCAACCAUUAACUGAUGGACAUAGAGCUUCCUCCAAGUACCAGCAUCUUGAAUUACACCUGACUCUGGUAAGCAUACUUUCUGAAGCCAUCUGGCUUACUUGGGCACUGGUCACUUGAUGUUAGCCAAGCAAGGAUUCUAGAGUGGAGACUAGCAGGCAGAAAGCCAAGCUCUACCUGGGUCAUCUGCUGCUGUUAUCAGUGAAGCCAGUGGCAGAGGAUGUGGAAGUCAGCACUUUUAUCCAAGGCUGAACACAAGUCUGUCAGCUGAAAACACAGCUGGUACUCUGGGGUAAGUCCUAACUUCCUAUUAGCAACAAACAAAAGGCCCACUCUACUGAAUUUCCCACUCGGCAUUUCGGCCUGGCAGUCAGUCUGUAAUGCCUAUCACCUAAGAUAGCAAGGAUAUUAGGCUGGGCCACUGGACUAGAACAGAAGGGUUGGGAAAGGCCAUCCCCUCCUGACCUCUGCUCUGCAGAGCCACUAACCAGAUGCAUCAGGGGUUUGGGGACCGGAAGGAGGCAGAGGACCAGGGAUUGAGAGCAGGGGGGAAAUGAGUAAGAAGACAAAAGAAGGAAAAGAAUGUUGAGUGAGCAGAUGGGACAAGCCCUAGCACCCUCUCCCCUGCACCUCACCAGAAGUCGCAGGCCCACCCAGGGCACACCAACUAAGCCCACCAGGUGAAGCCAACCCUGACGGCUGGUGGGGGUCAGGAGACUUGGGCUGUGGAUUCGGAGGUGGUGCUCUGUGGCAUUUUCUUAAACGUCUGUUUAUUUGGCUGCACUGGCUCUGAGUUGUGACAUGUGAGAUCUUCAGUUGCAGCAGCCAAACUCUUAGCUGCGGCUCGUGGGAUGUAGUUCCCUGAUCAGGGAUUGAACCAAGCCCCCUGCAUUGGGACCACAGUCUUAGCCACUGGACCCCCAGGGAAGUUCCCGCUCUGUGAGAUUAAAUGGAUGUCCCAGCCUGCGGCCAAGGCAGGAAUGCUCUUCCCCACCGCCAGCCCCUUAGGUUUCUGUUAUUUAUGCCUGCGUCCGUGGGAAAGAGCAUCUUUGUGUGCUGACUUUGCAAGGCCUGGCAGCUUUUGUCAGGAUUUUGUGUCACCAUGAGCAACCUUCCAGGUGACAAGACACCUGCCUGACCUGACUUGCCUUCCUCUCGAUUUUGGGCCACCGUGUCGCAAGUUCAGGGUUUUCAAGGCUGGAAUUUCAGAAGCUCUUUCCUUCUUCUGUGUACUAAACUUGACUUCUGGGCACAUUCCAUCCACUUAGAACAGGGCUGAGUACAUCAUUUGUGAGACUCAGUACAAAAUGAAAGUGCAGGGCCCCUUGCUCAGAAAUUAAGAAUGACAAGAUGGCAGCAGCAGAGCAUUAAACACAAUGGGAUGCUUCUGAGCCUGAGUCCUGCACAGUUUAUACAUCCAUGAAGCUGGCUCUGCCUCAGGAUCUAAGAGGCUAAAUUUCUAUAGAUAAGAUUAACGGAGCCCAAGAUUACACAGUACACAUUUUUAGUCAUUUUUUUUAUUUUUAGAAAAGUAUAAUGUUUUAGUAAAAGAUCAAAGCUUAAAGAUUGUAACAGUCAUUACUGGAUUUGUAAAAAUAUACAGGGCCUUAAAUUCAGGAGAUAUGAACAUCUAGGUACAUCACUUACUAACACUUAACUGCUUUUAAUCACUGUGUAACAUGAACCUAAUUUUUUCCCUGAUUUGGCAGCUUAACUGCAUUUCCCAUCUCCUGGGCAUUUCUGUAGCCCCGAAGCACCUCCUUUAACCAGAGUGGGGGUCACCUAAGAUGUGGCAGCCACCACAAAGCCAUGCCAAUCAAGAAGGACUAGUCCCCAAGGGAAGGGCAGGUCAUCUCACAGCUGGAAACCCGGGGGGUGGGGGGUGCAGAAUCUGGGAGAUUAACUUGUACCACAAAGAGGAAGGAAGAAGUUCAAUGUUUGAUGGACAAGUCAAGGUUGGGAUUCCAGGUCAGAGGCAGUGCCAACUCCAGACCCACCAGCCUCCUCCAUGGGGUCAAGGAACCGUGUCAUCCACAGAGAACUCAGGCAAACUGUCUUGGCCAUUCUGUUGCUUGCUUUGUUCCUGUUCUCCUGUCCUGGGUCCAAGGGUAACCUGUGCAGACCUGCAGGGUCCCGAUUAAGGUUGCCAGAUUUAGCCAACAAAAAUACAGGACCCAGUUAAACUUUAAUUUCAGGUAAGCAAUGAAUAAUGUUUUAGUAUAAAUAUUACAUGGGGCAUACUUGCAUGACUCACUGUUUAUCAGAAAUUCAGAUUUAGCUGGGCAUCCUGUGUGUUAUCUGGCAACCCUAGACCUAAUCUUGGAUCCCCUUCGCCUGAUUGAAGACAGCAUCUCUGCAGCUCCUCUGCUCCUAGACCACAAGUGAUCUUCCAGCAGGCUCUUGUAGACUUGGUUGCUCGUCUGCCCUAGCCUACCCAGUCUUCUGGUGAUGAACUUCACAGAUGUGCCAUGGGAGAAGCUGCUACCCCCAUGGAAGAUGCCGGUGCCAGGUGGAGACUCAUCUCUGACCUGCGGCCAGCUCUGCUCAGCCUCAGCACAUUCCUUCCUAGCUCAGCUCAUCCUUGGCACCUAGAUGGAGCAGCCCUCUCAUUGACCUGCUGGGUGGGCUUUGAGGGGGAGGUUCCAACUGUGAUUGUGGCUUGGGGAUGCUUGUUAGGUUCUUCUCCU